ACCUAACCAACCAAACUAUUAUUUAACGGAUAUCUGAUAUCUGAUUUUAUUCACUAAAUGUCGAGGAUUCGAGUAAUUCGGUUGCUUUCCAGUAAAUGUUAAGUGAGUUUUUCGAAAUUAAACGCAUUUUAAUGAACCGGAAAGGAAAAUUAAGUGCAGAAGAAAAGGAGAGAAUUCUAGUUUGCAAGGAAGAGUCUUCAUCUGUGCGAGAGAUAGCUCGCUGAAUAAAGAAUAAGUCGGGAAACCGGAAGCUGAACACUUCAGAAUGAACUUAAGGAGGAUCAUCGAGUAAAUUUCUAAAAUAUGGUAAUAUGCUAUCAUUAACUUUAUUGGACCUAGCUUUUACAUCACUUCACAUCUGCGAGUCGCUUCGGUCACGCUGCUCCCAGGGCAAAGUAACAUUACUUAUUUUAAAAGUUCUGAGGACCUUGGCUCUUAUGGACUAUUCCUUUCAAGUAUCCACACAGGAAGUGGUCUAGAGGAUUUAAAUCGGGCGCUCUUGCAGGGCAUCGUACGGAGCCAUCACGAUCUAUGCAUGCAUGGUUCAUGAUAUUUUUAU